rnacentral:tRNA from 2 species
CAGGGGGUAUUUUAUGUAAAAUAUUAGUUUUGGGGAUUAGUGAAAUGGUUUAUGCCUUCCCCCUGA